rnacentral:rRNA from 1 species
CAGUCGCCACGGUAACACGAAGGGGGCUAGCGUUGUUCGGAAUUACUGGGCGUAAAGGGCGCGUAGGCGGCCAUUCAAGUUAGAUGUGAAAGCCCUGGGCUCAACCUAGGAAUUGCAUUUGAUACUGUUUGGCUUGAGUUCGGGAGAGGUGAGUGGAAUUCCCAGUGUAGAGGUGAAAUUCGUAGAUAUUGGGAAGAACACCAGUGGCGAAGGCGGCUCACUGGACCGACACUGACGCUGAGGCGCGAAAGCGUGGGGAGCAAACAGGAUUAGAUACCCCUGUAGUCCCUGUCUCUUAUAC